UUGGACCUGAUAUCAGGCAAGAUUACCCGCUGAACUUAAGCAUAUCAAUAAGCGGAGGAUGAGGG
rnacentral:rRNA from 1 species